ensembl:lncRNA
UUGCAUAAGGCUGGUUUUAAAUUUUCAAGCUAAUCUGCAGCUCUUACUGGUCAUAUGCAAACUAAAAAAGCUGAAUAAAGAAAAGACAUCGAAGAGCAAAAACGAUGUCAAGUGUCUGGGACUCUUACCCUGACAUCAUGCUGACUUUGAUUACUGUAAAUAUGUGAGGUAUCAGACUGUAUUACCAGCCCCUCUCUGAUCUGUUUUGCAGGUUAAUUAAAGCCAUCAACUCCAGCUUCUCAUUCACUGGUUGUUGUGCCUGUUGUUCUGUGGUAGCUGUGAUUUGUGUUUGCUUACUAGUGUACUGGGACUAUGCAGCAACUUCUACUGGUGUUGGCAAUCAGCAAUGAUGAAAUUCACAAACAAACACUGUUUUUUCAUAUGGUUGGGCUUUGAGUUCUUAAUUCGGAGCAAACUGCACCACAAGAUAAAAGUGUCAGCUGGAGAUACAGAGCCUUAAAGAGAGGAGGAUUCGUUUGGUGAUACAUUGAAGACAGGGUUCAUAAGUUUAGCUGAUGUGUUUUGUCCUUAUGAAUGGGAACUAAAGUAAUGCAGCUGGACUUGUAAAUCGUCAAAUGACAAUAAAAAACAAAAUAAAAAGCAAUUCAAUUCCAGUUUAUUUAUAUAGCGCCAAAUCACAACAGUCCCCUCAAGGAAGAUUAAAAAAUCAAAAGAUGAGGUGGAAAUAGUUCGCAGUUAGUCUGCAUUAAAACAAGUAAAAGAAAAAUCUGACAUCUUAGGCCAAUACAUGUUGCUGAAUAGUCAUAUUUUCGCAAAGCUUGUUGUGGACUAAGAUAAAAAAAACAAUGUUACGCUGUAUGCAGUGUCACUGAUGUGCAAAUGUCAAGGGUUUCUAAGUGUUGUAAAUGCAUGUAAACUUGCUGUGUGAUGAAAAAAAUGUUAACAUUAAUGCAUUGUUUAGAAAAAUCAUUGAUAAUAGAUGAUAAUGUUUUCUUUUUUUAAUACUCAGAUAUUUGAUAUUUCUUUUUUUUUUCUAAAGAAUCCUUUGUAAAAGUUAAUUUCUCUAUUUUGUACAGAGCAUCACUGUAAAGUCUGUAAAUAUGUCAGCAUUCUGGAUGCGGCAACAAUCACUGAGGAGGAAAAACUAAAUCUGUGAGAGAAAGAUAUAUUUCUUCAAAGUUGGGUC